GGGCCGGUCGUCUAGUUUGGACACCUAGUCAGGUGGAACAAUUAGGAUAUCUGCCUGACACGCAGAAGGUCCCCGGUUCAAGUCCGGGCCGGCCCA
rnacentral:tRNA from 1 species